rnacentral:rRNA from 1 species
AUACGGAGGGGACUAGCGUUGUUCGGAAUAACUGGGCGUAAAGCGCACGUAGGCGGAAUGUUAAGUUAGAGGUGAAAUCCCAGGGCUCAACCCUGGAACGGCCUUUAAUACUGGCAAUCUAGAGACCGCGAGAGGUGAGUGGAAUUCCGAGUGUAGAGGUGAAAUUCGUAGAUAUUCGGAGGAACACCAGUGGCGGAGGCGGCUCACUGGCUCGGUACUGACGCUGAGGUGCGAAAGCGUGGGGAGCAAACAGGAUUAGAAACCCCUGUAGUCC